rnacentral:sRNA from 1 species
GCCAGCGAGAAAGCGUUGCCGCAGGCAACGACCCGAAGGGCGAAGCGCGCAGCGCUGAGUAAUCCUUCCCCCACCACCA